rnacentral:rRNA from 1 species
AAUUCGAUUAGAGUUUGAUCAUGGCUCAGAACGUACGCUGGCGGCACGCCUAACACAUGCAAGUCGAACGAAGUAGCAAUACUUAGUGGCAGACGGGUGAGUAACAUGUAGGUAUCUGCCCUUUGGCCUGGAAUAACACGAGGAAACUUGUGCUAAUACCGGAUAAGUCUUUACGGAGAAAGCUUUAUGCACCAUUGGAUGAGCCUGCACUUGAUUAGUUUGUUGGUGGGGUAAUGGCCUACCAAGACUGUGAUCAAUAGCUGAUUUGAGAGGAUGAUCAGCCACAUUGGGACUGAGACACGGCCCAAACUCCUACGGGAGGCAGCAGUGGGGAAUCUUGCACAAUGGAGGAAACUCUGAUGCAGCGAUGCCGCGUGAGUGAAAAGGCCUUUGGGUUGUAAAGCUCUUUCGUCGGGGAAGAAAAUGACUGUACCCGAAUAAGAAGGUCCGGCUAACUUCGUGCCAGCAGCCGCGGUAAUACGAAGGGACCUAGCGUAGUUCGGAAUUACUGGGCUUAAAGAGUUCGUAGGUGGUUGAAAAAGUUGGUGGUGAAAUCCCAGAGCUUAACUCUGGAACUGCCAUCAAAACUUUUCAGCUAGAGUUUGAUAGAGGAAAGCAGAAUUUCUAGUGUAGAGGUGAAAUUCGUAGAUAUUAGAAAGAAUACCAAUUGCGAAGGCAGCUUUCUGGAUCAAUACUGACACUGAGGAACGAAAGCAUGGGUAGCGAAGAGGAUUAGAUACCCUCGUAGUCCAUGCCGUAAACGAUGUGUGUUAGACGUUGGAAAUUUAUUUUCAGUGUCGCAGCGAAAGCGAUAAACACACCGCCUGGGGAGUACGACCGCAAGGUUAAAACUCAAAUGAAUUGACGGGGACCCGCACAAGUAGUGGAGCAUGUGGUUUAAUUCGAAGAUACGCGCAGAACCUUACCAACACUUGACAUGUUCGUCGCGACUUUAAGAGAUUAAAGUUUUCGGUUCGGCCGGACGAAACACAGGUGCUGCAUGGCUGUCGUCAGCUCGUGUCGUGAGAUGUUGGGUUAAGUCCCGCAACGAGCGCAACCCUCACUUUUAGUUGCCAUCAUUAAGUUGGGCACUCUGAAAGAACUGCCAGUGAUAAGCUGGAGGAAGGUGGGGAUGACGUCAAGUCCUCAUGGCCCUUACGUGUUGGGCUACACACGUGCUACAAUGGUAUCUACAACAGGAAGCAAGACGGCGACGUUAAGCAAAUCCUUAAAAGAUACCUCAGUUCGGAUUGCACUCUGCAACUCGAGUGCAUGAAGCUGGAAUUACUAGUAAUCGUGGAUCAGCGUGCCACGGUGAAUGCGUUCCGCGGGUCUUGUAG